UGAAAUAAGUGAACAUGGUGUGGGGGUUAUAGCCAUGCAGAAAUGGACUGAAUGUAGACAUAUUCCUCUUUACUCUCUGAGGCACAGAAUGUCACCAAGAGCUGUUUUGUCUGUCAACAAGAGAGACAGAGACUGCAGACGGCUACAGAGAAGAUUCUACACAGGGAAGGCCCCACACAUAGCUGGCUACGUCAACUACAAAGGAUAUCCUUUGGGGAGGGAGUUCUGAGGACUGCUUUCUACUGAGACUUCAAUCUAUAUGGUGUAUGGCUCCCAACAGACUGAUCACUGUGGUAACUAUAAACCUGAUGGUCAAAUGCUUAGAAAAGUCCCUGGUUAUAAUAGAAAAAAAUAUGAAGGUAGCAUGCCCAACAUAGCAUGCAUUUAGGCUAUGCAUAAAUAUAUAUCACUCUUGUUUUUAUGGACAGAAAGCUAUUAACAGAAUAGGGAAAAACAAUGGGCCUCUGGUGGGAUUAAAGGAGUUGGCGUCACAUGGUAGAUCCAAGGGAAUGACCCCACCCGAAACAAGGAAGGCUGUGAGAGGCCUUAUGGCACUCUCAAAUUAAAUUACAUCUACCUGUAAACACCAAUCAUCUAACUCCAGUGUGGAGACCCAAUAUUUUUUGCAAAACAUUUAUUCUAACUGCAUUCAGGCCAUUAGUACACAACAGCAAUGAUAUGCAUGGUAGAUUAAACAACACCGGCUCGUAAGACAGAAAAGGGCCUCAGGAGAGAUAGGUGCAGGUCUAGGUAUCCUGGGACAAGCUGAGUUUACUGUUUAUGUGGAGCAGUAUUCGGAGGAAAAAGAUUUAUUAACUAGAAGAGACAGAACAGAGGAAAUUCUCUUCCAGGAGGACGGCAAAGGAUGGGAGUCAGGGCAGAAGGAUAAUGAGGCUUUAGCAAAGUGGAUCAGGCUGGCUCAACAGACAAUGCUGGGCACUGCUAACACCCAGCCCAGGGUUUGUACCUGACUCAACAGGGCCUCUUGACUCUUUUAAUACAGAUGGAAGCUGAAGUGGCCGUGGGGCAGUGACCUGCUAUUCUGGCUGCUGAGGUCAAAGACCCACCCAUGGGAGUCUGAGGGCCUUCCAAACUUAUGGAAGUUCUCUGAGGGCACUUGUAAUGUUACACUGAUAGACUAUGACUGCUCUCCCCCACAGCAUAGGUCAAAAUGAAAUAUAUCCUGCAGUACAGUUGGUAGAAAUAGGAACCAUCUAAAUACCACCUGUGUCCUCCCUGCAGGAAAGAGGUGGGCCUUGCUAUAUAAUAACACACCAUAGAAACCAGCCUCAGUACAAGCCUGUGAGAUGAGGUGGGGUGAUUCCUUUUGUCCUCAAUUAACUAGAAACCCAGAAAUAACUAACAUGGCCAAUUGUAAUAAUGCCCUUCCUUAAUAAUAUCUGACAAAUGGCCAAGAGUGGAUUCCACUGGGAAGACAAGACAAAUUCCUCUGUAAUUCUUACUGAUUUAUUCUUUUAUGAAACUGAGUUGUCCCAUGAUCAUACUGUGAUAUGGUGUCAUACUGGUGUUGUAAGUAAGAUUCAAUUACCUAGUAUAAAUAAAUCUUACGAUACUACUGAUAUUGGUGAUUCAACGUAUUGGGAGAUUGAGUUAAAGUCUCUCCAGGAUGUAAUACUUAUGAAAAAUGACUGACUUGAAGAGAAAUAGGAUUUAGCUAACCAUCAGCUGAUUUCUGUGCUAAAUAGUUCUGCGAAACUUAUUAUAAGAUACAAAGAGCAAUAGAAUGCACAAAUUAGUGCGAGAAUAUGAAAAUAUUGGUAAUGGUUUUAUAGGAUAAAUUAGCUAUUUCUUUACAUCUAUCCCUACUCCACCCUGAGGGAUCAGAGAGCUUCUGGGUAAUACAUACAUCUGUGUGCUGGGUGAGGGAGGCACACCCCUAUUCCAUGCGGACAGAAACCUCCAUGCUCAGGGCCCUUCUAGACCUUGCCCUGUGUAUCUCUCCAUUUGGCUGUUCAUUUGUAUCCUUUAAAAUGAACUUCGUAUAAGCCUUUGUAAUAAAUUGGUAAUAGUAAGUAAACCAUU